AUAUAUCGGUUAUGGAUGAGCUUGCGGGGUAUUAGGUAGUUGGUGUGGUAAUGGCGCACCAAGCCCAAGAUGCCUAGCCGGUUUGAGAGAACGAUCGGCCACACUGGGACUGAGACACGGCCCAGACGCUUACGAGCGGCAGCAGUGGGGAAUAUUGGACAAUGGGCGAAAGCCUGAUCCAGUGAUAUCGCUUUGGGGA
rnacentral:rRNA from 1 species